rnacentral:rRNA from 1 species
GACGAACGCUGGCGGCGUGCUUAACACAUGCAAGUCGAGCGGUAAGGCCCUUUCGGGGGUACACGAGCGGCGAACGGGUGAGUAACACGUGGGUGACCUGCCCUCAGCUCUGGGAUAAGCCUGGGAAACUGGGUCUAAUACUGGAUAUGACUCCACGGUGCAUGUCGGUGGGGUAGGAAAGCCUUGUGCGGCUGAGGAUGGGCCCGCGGCCUAUCAGC